GAUGAACGCUGGCGGCGUGCUUAACACAUGCAAGUCGAACGGAAAGGCCCUGCUUGCAGGGUACUCGAGUGGCGAACGGGUGAGUAACACGUGGGUGAUCUGCCCUGUACUUUGGGAUAAGCCUGGGAAACUGGGUCUAAUACCGAAUAUGACCACUUCUUGGAUGGGGUGGUGGAAAGCUUUUGCGGUAUGGGAUGAGCUCGCGGCCUAUCAGCUUGUUGGUGGGGUAAUGGCCUACCAAGGCGUCGACGGGUAGCCGGCCUGAGAGGGUGUACGGCCACAUUGGGACUGAGAUACGGCCCAGACUCCUACGGGAGGCAGCAGUGGGGAAUAUUGCACAAUGGGCGCAAGCCUGAUGCAGCGACGCCGCGUGGGGGAUGACGGCCUUCGGGUUGUAAACUCCUUUCGCAACCGACGAAGCUUUUGUGACGGUAGGUUGAGAAGAAGCACCGGCUAACUACGUGCCAGCCGCCGCAGUAACAC
rnacentral:rRNA from 1 species